UACGAAGGUGGCAAGCGUUGUUCGGAUUUACUGGGCGUACAGGGAGCGUAGGCGGUUGGGUAAGCCCUUCGUGAAAUCCCUGGGCUCAACCCAGGAACUGCGUCCGAUACUGGUUGGCUUGAAUCCGGGAGAGGGAUGUGGAAUUCCAAGGUGUAGCGGUGAAAUGCGUAGAUAUCUGGAGGAACACCGGGUGGCGAAGGCGACAUCCUGGACCGGUAUUGACGCUGAGGAGCGAAAGCCAGGGGAGCAAACGGG
rnacentral:rRNA from 1 species